UCGAACGGCAGCACGGUCUAGUUUACUAGAUGGGUGGCAAGGUGGCGGACGGUGAGUAAUGCGCAGGAAUAGUGACCUUAAAGUGGGGACGACUUGGGGAAACUCAAGCUAAUACCGCAUAAUCUCUUUGGGAGAAAAGCUGGGGACCUUCGGGCCUGGCGCUUUAAGAUUAGCCUGCGUCCGAUUAGCUAGUUGGUAGGUAAAGGCCUACAAAGGCGACGAUCGGUAGCUGGUCUGAGAGGAUGACCAGCCACACUGGAACUGAGACACGGUCCAGACUCC
rnacentral:rRNA from 1 species